AUUGAACGCUGGCGGCAGGCCUAACACAUGCAAGUCGAGCGGAUGAAGGGAGCUUGCUCCUGGAUUCAGCGGCGGACGGGUGAGUAAUGCCUAGGAAUCUGCCUGGUAGUGGGGGAUAACGUCCGGAAACGGGCGCUAAUACCGCAUACGUCCUGAGGGAGAAAGUGGGGGAUCUUCGGACCUCACGCUAUCAGAUGAGCCUAGGUCGGAUUAGCUAGUUGGUGGGGUAAAGGCCUACCAAGGCGACGAUCCGUAACUGGUCUGAGAGGAUGAUCAGUCACACGGGAACUGAGACACGGUCCAGACUCCUACGGGGGGCAGCAGUGGGGAAUAUUGGACAAUGGGCGAAAGCCUGAUCCAGCCAUGCCGCGUGUGUGAAGAAGGUCUUCGGAUUGUAAAGCACUUUAAGUUGGGAGGAAGGGCAGUAAGUUAAUACCUUGCUGUUUUGACGUUACCAACAGAAUAAGCACCGGCUAACUUCGUG
rnacentral:rRNA from 1 species